UACGUAAGGUGCAAGCGUUAAUCGGAAUUACUGGGCGUAAAGCGUGCGCAGGCGGUUUUGUAAGUCUGACGUGAAAUCCCCGGGCUCAACCUGGGAAUUGCGUUGGAGACUGCAGGGCUGGAGUCUGGCAGAGGGGGGUAGAAUUCCACGUGUAGCAGUGAAAUGCGUAGAGAUGUGGAGGAACACCGAUGGCGAAGGCAGCCCCCUGGGCCAAGACUGACGCUCAUGCACGAAAGCGUGGGGAGCAAACAGG
rnacentral:rRNA from 1 species